GGAGCCUAUCUUCAAUUUUAUAUUGAAACAGCUCUAACUUCAGUUGAAUUAUAUCUGAGUCAGCAAAAAAAAAAAAAAAAGCAAAAGGAAAAAUCAGAUCAGGUGCUCAUUCAGGCUCUCUGGACAGGCUUACCAUGGCUGAAAUUCCCAUCUAUCUAGCUUGAUCCUGCAGCACCAUGGCUAGAUACUUCAUCUAAACUGGAAACUGGUGCUUCCAACGGCACAAUGGUGUGCUGCUGAAGGACCAUGGACAGCGACUGCUCACUGCAAAUUGGGGAACUUGUCCUCUAGCAUUGGAAAAAAAAGGACUGGUUUUAGAUAUAGAAUCGUAGAACAUCUUGAUUUGGAAGAGACUUAUAAGGAUCAUUAAAACCAACUCCCUGCUCAUCACGGGACUACCUAAACCACAUGACUAAAAACAUUACAUAAAUAAACUGCUUUAUUAACCUUAAACUAAUCUGACUUUGUAUGGAGAUCAGAUGAAGUUCCCCUCAUGUUUUUCAAUGAAGUUGCCAAUGUUAUGAUUUUGUUUGUAUGACUGUUUACCAAAACACUGUUCUGUAAAAGAGUUUUGGUAGUGUCGAACCACCGUCAGAAGUUUAAACUUACUGGAAUAUG